rnacentral:sRNA from 1 species
GAAUAUCUCAUAACACUACUUUUUAAUUUUUGACGGAAUCAAUUUUCUAUGCCGAUUAACACAGCAUUAAAAAAUUAUGGAACAAAAAAAGGAACUUUCUUAUUGGAAAUGCAAAUCUUAAAUGCUAUCCUACCAAAUUCUGUAAUAGUGACAUUAAAAAAUUCACGAGCAUGCCCUUAAAAUCAAAUGCUUACGUGGUUUGUGUUUUUAAAGUAAAUCUUGUCAUUUUCUACCCAUGAGUAAUUAAUUCUUAGCGUUUCGUCGAUUUCUUCAAUCUCCCCCCAUAUCGAAGGUGCAUUUGCAUUCAUCCUAGACCUGUAAACUAAGAAAAAGAAAUAACGGUUUGUAGAAAAUUGCUGUUGCCGGGAACUUAGAUAGUAAUUUCCCGGGUAAAAACCCCAAUGUUUUCGGGAGUCUCAACUUCAAUUUACCUCUGUCGAACACUGAUUAAUGGCCGUUCCAAGAACAGGAUGUCAAUAGUCGUGCUGGAUAUUUCGAAAAUGUCUUACAACCUGUGCAUUAAGGAAUUCUUCGGAAAGGCGAAGGAAGAGUGGCCAUGCUUAUAAAGGAAGAAUAGGUCCCGAUCUGGUGUUGGCUGAGAAACUAUGGACUUGGAUUUGUUAAAGAAAUUUUCUCAAAUUAAACAGUUCCAAAAUUAGCGCGAGGAGAAAACUAUCUGAAAAUCAUAGGGGAUUGUCGGUGUUCGUGUGAAUUUUUGGGGGAUUCCAAUUUUCCGAAAUCUUGUGCUAUGCAUAACACGAGAAAAAAAAGGAAACUGCUUAGAGUGAAACAAGGCAUUUAUGUAUGUGCAUAGAAUGCUCAAAUGGAUUGCCAUUUGUCUUAUUCGAAGGUUAAUCUUCUUUUUUUUUACCAUCUUGUGUUAUGAAAUGCGUACCAGAAGGAAAAGGCUGGACUCGAGUUGAAUCAAACAACCAACCUAAAGGAAACGAAGAAGUAAGCAAUAUUCCCCAUCAACGAUGUCUUUUUACUUCAUUUGGAUCUCAUGUGAUCUAUGUAAUGAUCUAUGUAAUGAACAUCAUGACGAAUCAAGGUGAUAAUCUUAUCGUCGCUUACGAAGCCACGAAUGAAACCAACCAUAAACUCGUUCGAAGAUUUGGCCGCAGAUAAAGAAGUUUCGAUACUUCUUAGGCAUGACACGGUGAUGGGAGAACAAAUAUUGAAAGCGACCUCUGGUGUUUAUAAUCUUGGAAUCUUGGAGACCAAGGCCGUAGAAACUCUGAUCGUUAUUGUUGGCGAUCCGUUGAAGUUAAACGCGAUGUUGGAAACCGGCCGAUAUGCUUAUCCGUCUCUUUCAACAUCUGGACUUGGAAUGCUGACGUUUUUGUUGGAACAGAUAUAUUAAAACUACGAAAAGCACAAACAUCGUUAGCUUCCGCUAAUAAU